UGCCAGCCGCCGCGGUAAUACGGAGGGUGCGAGCGUUGCUCGGAAUCACUGGGCGUAAAGGGUACGCAGGCGGAUCGUUAAGUCGGGUGUGAAAGCCGGGGGCUCAACCCCGGAAAUGCGCCCGAUACUGGCGGCCUUGAGUACGGGAGAGGGAUAGCGGAAUUCCUGGUGUAGAGGUGAAAUUCGUAGAUAUCAGGAGGAACACCAGUGGCGAAAGCGGCUUCCUGGCCCGAUACUGACGCUCAUGUACGAAAGCGUGGGGAGCAAACAGGAUUAGAUA
rnacentral:rRNA from 1 species